rnacentral:rRNA from 1 species
AGCCCGGAGAUGGACACUGAGACAAGGGUCCAGGCCCUACGGGGCGCAGCAGGCGCGAAACCUCCUCAAUGCACUGACGUGCGAAGGGUCUACCUCGAGUGCCACCUGAUGAAGGUGGCUUUUCCUAGGUCUAAAAAGCCUUGGGAAUAAGAGGGGGGCAGGACUGGUGUCAGCCGCCGCGGUAACACCAGCCCCUCGAGUGGUGGGGAUGAUUAUUGGGCCUAAAGCGUCCGUAGCCUGCCGUAUAAGUUUCCCGUUAAAUCCAGCGUCUCAAGCGUUGGACUGCGGGAAAUACUGUACGGCUAGAGAGUGGGAGAGGUCAGCGGUAUUCUGGGGGUAGGGGCGAAAUCCUUUGAUCCCCGGAGGACCACCAGUGGCGAAGGCUGCUGACUAGAACACGUCUGACGGUCAGGGACGAAAGCUGGGGUAGCGAACCGGAUUAGAUACCCGGGUAGUCCCAGCCGUAAACGAUGCAUGCUAGGUGUUGGGUUGGCCACGAGCCACCCCAGUGCCGCAGGGAAGCCGUUAAGCAUGCCGCCUGGGAAGUACGAUCGCAAGGUUGAAACUUAAAGGAAUUGGCGGGGGAGCACAAUCG